rnacentral:rRNA from 1 species
AGUGAACGCUGGCGGCGUGCUUAACACAUGCAAGUCGAACGAGAACGGAUUAUAGCUUGCUAUAAUUGUCAGCUAAGUGGCGCACGGGUGAGUAAUGUAUAGGUAAUAUGCCUCUUACUAAGGGAUAACAAAUGGAAACGUUUGCUAAUACCUUAUACUCCUUAUUAACAGAAGUUAAUAAGGGAAAAAUUUAUUGGUAAGAGAUUAGCCUGUAUUGUAUCAGUUAGUUUGUGGGGUAAUGGCUUACCAAGACUAAGACAAGAAACUGGUUUGUGGGGAUGAUCAGUCAGACGUGAACUGGGACACGGUCCAGACUCCGUAGUAAGGCAGCAGUGGGCAAUAUUGCACAAUGGCCGAAAGUCUGGUGCAGCAACGCCGCGUGGAGGAUGACACAUUUCGGUGCGUAAACUCAUUUUAUAGGUGAAGAUAAUGACGGUAUGAUAUGAAUAAGCACCGGCUAAUUCCGUGCCAGCAGCCGCAGUAAAAC